CGUAACAAGGUCUCCGUAGGUGAACCUGCGGAGGGAUCAUUACACAAAUAUGAAGGCGGGCUGGAACCUCUCGGGGUUACAGCCUUGCUGAAUUAUUCACCCUUGUCUUUUGCGUACUUCUUGUUUCCUUGGUGGGUUCGCCCACCACUAGGACAAACAUAAACCUUUUGUAAUUGCAAUCAGCGUCAGUAACAAAUUAAUAAUUACAACUUUCAACAACGGAUCUCUUGGUUCUGGCAUCGAUGAAGAACGCAACGAAAUGCGAUAAGUAGUGUGAAUUGCAGAAUUCAGUGAAUCAUCGAAUCUUUGAACGCACAUUGCGCCCUUUGGUAUUCCAAAGGGCAUGCCUGUUCGAGCGUCAUUUGUACCCUCAAGCUUUGCUUGGUGUUGGGCGUCUUGUCUCUAGCUUUGCUGGAGACUCGCCUUAAAGUAAUUGGCAGCCGGCCUACUGGUUUCGGAGCGCAGCACAAGUCGCACUCUCUAUCAGCAAAGGUCUAGCAUCCAUUAAGCCUUUUUUUCAACUUUUGACCUCGGAUCAGGUAGGGAUACCCGCUGAACUUAAGCAUAUCA
rnacentral:rRNA from 1 species